rnacentral:tRNA from 1 species
GUCAAGCGCAGUGGAAGCAUGGUGGGCCCAUAACCCACAGGUCCUAGGAUCGAAACUUAGCUCUGAUA